CACGUAGGCGGAUUGCUAAGUCAGGGGUGAAAUCCUGGAGCUCAACUCCAGAACUGCCCUUGAUACUGGCGGUCUCGAGUCCGGGAGAGGUGAGUGGAACUGCGAGUGUAGAGGUGAAAUUCGUAGAUAUUCGCAAGAACACCAGUGGCGAAGGCGGCUCACUGGCCCGGUACUGACGCUGAGGUGCGAAAGCGUGGGGAGCAAACA
rnacentral:rRNA from 1 species